rnacentral:pre_miRNA from 1 species
AAAAAGACAAACCCUGGUUUCCGUGCCCAACGUUUGACCGUCCGUCUUAUUUGAAAAAAUUAUGAAAAAAAUUAAAAAGACAAGUCACGCAUAAAAUAUUAAUCAUGUUUUAUCAUCUAACAACAAUGAAAAUACGAAUUAUAAAAAAAAUUUAUAUAAGACGGACAGUUAAAGUUGGACACGGAAACCCAGGGUUUGCCUUUUU